rnacentral:rRNA from 1 species
UACGGAGGGGGCAAGCGUUAUUCGGAAUUAUUGGGCGUAAAGGGCGCGUAGGCGGCCUGGCAAGUGACGGGUGAAAGCCCUUGGCUCAACUGAGGAAGUGCACCCGAAACUGAGUGGCUUGAGUACUAAAGAGGGUCGCGGAAUUCCCGGUGUAGAGGUGAAAUUCGUAGAUAUCAGGAGGAACACCGGUGGCGAAAGCGGCUCACUGGCCCGAUACUGACGCCCAUGCUCGAAAGCGUGGGGAGCAAACAGG